rnacentral:rRNA from 1 species
AUUGAACGCUGGCGGCAGGCCUAACACAUGCGAGUCGAGCGGAUGAAGGGAGCUUGCUCCUGGAUUCAGCGGCGGACGGGUGAGUAAUGCCUAGGAAUCUGCCUGGUAGUGGGGGAUAACGUCCGGAAACGGGCGCUAAUACCGCAUACGUCCUGAGGGAGAAAGUGGGGGAUCUUCGGACCUCACGCUAUCAGAUGAGCCUAGGUCGGAUUAGCUAGUUGGUGGGGUAAAGGCCUACCAAGGCGACGAUCCGUAACUGGUCUGAGAGGAUGAUCAGUCACACUGGAACUGAGACACGGUCCAGACUCCUACGGGAGGCAGCAGUGGGGAAUAUUGGACAAUGGGCGAAAGCCUGAUCCAGCCAUGCCGCGUGUGUGAAGAAGGUCUUCGGAUUGUAAAGCACUUUAAGUUGGGAGGAAGGGCAGUAAGUUUAUACCUUGCUGUUUUGACGUUACCAACAGAAUAAGCACCGGCUAACUUCGUG